GAGAAAAAUAACUUACUCUACAUUCUCCCCGAUGGAUUCCGAAACCCAGAAGGUAGCUGCUGGAAGUCAACUCUAAGAACAUGCACACGGAGACCAGAAUGUGAACAUUUUGAAUGAUUGGCUGAAGAGCUGCUACCCUUUGUGAGUUAAAAGGCUUGUGCUACCAACUGUCGAUAUAAAAGGUAGCUGAGGCAAAGACGCAAUAUAUACUGCCAAAAAUAAUUGAAAUAGAGAGAGACAUGUCGGUGAAAGGUUCCAGAAGAUUUUUGUUUCUGUAUCAAUGUGAUAGUACAGGAGAAAAUAAUUUUGCCUGAAUUCUCAUAAUUACUUUGAGUUGAAUGUAGUUAUAUUUUAAGCUGUGUACCAUACUUAUAUUAAAACGCUCAUCAUACAAAACAUAAUCCUUUCAUAAAAGGCUUUAAUAUAGCUUAUGCUGUUCCAAGUGUCUGGGCUUGUUAAACAUCAAAGUUCAUUACGAAAACAUUUUCACUUCAGUUACUUUAGUUUCGGCUGCAAUGUUUACUCCAACGUUUGUUCUUCUUUUCUCAUCUCUCAGCUUAUUCAACUUUAUUUUUUCUGUUAAGGAAAAGUGCACUGCAUUUUAAAAAUUAAUGCAGACUUUCCAUAGCAUAACAGUGAAAACUUGUGGAAAGAACCAGUGCAUUUCUAGCUAGCACAUAAGAAAGUGAGGGCUCAGUUAUUAAUUUAGUUCUACCUUGUUUUAUAUAGUUCUUCUACCUAUUAAAAUUGAGCAUUUAAAUGAAUUUUAAAUGUUAUACUGAUUUUUCUUUCAAUUCUCAUAUUAUUUAAUAAUGUUGGUACCUGAAUAAUCCUAGUCAUGGGUUGCUAUGAUCCUGAG
rnacentral:lncRNA from 1 species